rnacentral:lncRNA from 1 species
UCCCUCAUAGUUAUCAACUCCUCAUCAUCAGUUAAUAGCUCAUCAAUUGUAUAAUAGCUAUCCUCACUCUCUUCCUCUUCAUUGUCACUGGAUGGGGUGUAGUCUUCAUCCUCGAAAGAUUCUUCAACAAUCCUUACAUCCUUAGAUUUCUCAAGCACUUCCUCUUUUUCUUUGCUUAUCACCACUUGUUGACUUUGCUGAGCAACUACUUUUCUGCCUUUAUCUUUUGCUACUUGCUUACCAAUUUCUUUACUUGUCACUGAUUCUAGGCUUUUCUUCUCAUCAAGCUUUUUAGUAAGACUUCUAGUUCUUGGUCUC